rnacentral:rRNA from 1 species
UACGAAGGGGGCUAGCGUUGUUCGGAAUCACUGGGCGUAAAGGGCGCGUAGGCGGCCGAUAAAGUCGGGGGUGAAAGCCUGUGGCUCAACCACAGAAUUGCCUUCGAUACUGUUUGGCUUGAGACCGGAAGAGGUUAGUGGAACUGCGAGUGUAGAGGUGAAAUUCGUAGAUAUUCGCAAGAACACCAGUGGCGAAGGCGGGUCUCUGGGCCGAUACUGACGCUGAGGAGCGAAAGCAUGGGGAGCGAACAGG